UUUCAUGAUUGGAUGAUUUUCUGUAGUUUGUAUGCUUUGCUUCCUUUCAUCUUUUUUCUAUCUCCUAUAGGAGAUUUUUUGCUUUGUGGUUAUAUAACAUCUUAUAUUUGUAACAGUCUGUUUUAAGCUGGUAACAACAUUUUCAAAUGCACAAAAAAGCUUUACGUAUUUAUACUCUCCUUCCAGCAUUUUAUGUUUUCAAUGUCACUAUUUAUAUCUCUUUAAAUUGUGUAUCCAUUAACAAAUUAUUGUAGCUGUAGUUAUUUUUAAUACUUUUGUCUUUACAUCUUUCUUCUAGAGUUAUAAGUGACUUAUACAUUAUCAUUGCAAUAUUAGAAUAUACUGAAUUUAAGUAUAUGUUUACCUCUACCAGUGAGUUUUAUAGUUUCACAUAUUUUCAUGUUACUAAUUAACAUCUUUUGUUUCAACUUGAAGAAUUCCCUUAAACAUUUAAGGCCAAUCUAACGGUAAUGAAUUCCUUCAGCUUUCAUUGUCUCAGAAAUCUUUAUCUCUUCUUUAAUUUUGAAGGAUAACAAUCCUGGGUAGAAUAUUCUUGGUUGGCAGUCUUCUUCGAGUGUUUUAAAUAUGUCAUCCCACUCUUUUCUUGUCUAAAAGUUUCUGCUGAAAAGUCAAGUCAUAGUCUUAUGGAGGUUCUUUUGUAUGUAAUUGCCUGUACCUUUAGCUCCCUGAUGUAGGCUAAUUGGAAGCUUGACCUUCAGAUAACAGCUGGAAAAGUCAGGAUAUUAACUAUGCUGUCUAGCUCCUUUCAGGGAGAAAUCAAGAGCUGGAUGUUUUUACUUACUUGAUGCUAAGCCAAAGGGUAAAGUUGCUGGGGGUGCUUGUGCAUCCAUAUAGAACUGUCUGUUUUGUGUGGUCUUGGGGGACUGGUGAGUGCUGAGCCUUGCUAGUUCCCAGAUCUAGGUGACUUGGGAGCUAGUCCCUCAGGUGGCAGUUGCAACAGUUGGAUGCUCUGUGUAGUUCCUUUCAGGAAGAAGCUGGAUACUUGGUUUCACUGUUGGAGUGAGCCAGAGGGAGGAAGGGUGGGAUGUGCCUGACAACUCUUUUUGUUUUUUGGUUUUUGUUUUUGUCUUUUUGCCAUUUCUUGGGCCACUCCCGCGGCCUAUGGAGGCUCCCAGGCUAGGGGUCCAAUCGGAGCUGUAGCCGCCAGCCUACGCCAGAGCCACAGCAACGCAGGAUCCAAGCCGCAUCUGCGACCUACACCACAGCUCACGGCAACGCCGGAUCGUCAACCCACUGAGCAAGGGCAGAGAUCGAACCCGCAACCUCAUGGUUCCUAGUCGGAUUCGUUAACUACUGCGCCACGACGGGAACUCCAUGCCUGACAACUCUUUCAGGCUUCUGGAAGGAUCCUAGUCAACUUCUACAUGCAAACUUAUUAGAAGCCAGAUUCUCAGACAGUACGCAGUUGGGAAAGUAAGCAGUCAAAUCCCUUUCAAGGAGAAACUGGAAGAUGGAUAUUUUUGCCUGCUCCCCCUGUACUGACCUGGAGGGAUAAACUAUGGGAAAUGAGUGUGUGCCCUUUGAAACCUGCAUUUUUUUUUGUUUUAUGUGGUCCUGUGAGACUCAUGAAUACUGAGAUCCACUGGCUUUUAGGGCUAGACGAUUUGAGGGGCCGUUGCUCCAAUGGCAGCCAUAAAAGUUGGAGCUCUAGAUGUGUGCACAAGCUCCUUCCAGGGAGAAGCUGGCAAUUUGAUUUUCUUUUUUUUUUUUUUUUUGUCUUUUGUCUUUUUGGUUGUUGUUGUUGUUAUUGUUGCUAUUUCUUGGGCCGCUCCCGCGGCAUAUGGAGGUUCCCAGGCUAGGGGUUGAAUCGGAGCUGUAGCCACCAGCCUACGCCAGAGCCACAGCAACGCGGGAUCCGAGCCACGUCUGCAACCUAUACCACAGCUCAGGGCAACGCCGGAUCGUUAACCCACUGAGCAAGGGCAGGGACCGAACCCUCAACCUCAUGGUUCCUAGUCGGAUUCGUUAACCACCGCGCCACGACGGGAACUCCCAAUUUGAUUUUCUUGUUUGAGCAAGCCAGAGGGAGAAUGUGUGGGGCAGGGGAGGUGCCUCUUGGCUCUUACAGGCUCCUGGGAGGAUCCUAGUCAGCACCCAGAUGCAGGCUGAUUUAAAGCCAGAUCCUUGGGCAGCAACCGGGAUAGUAUGCAAACUCCUUCCAGGGACAGAGAGGGAGAUGAACGUUUUUCCUGCCCUUUGGGGGUCUAGCUGCUGGAAGUGCUCAUGGGCCUGUUUAAAAGUGGCUGCUUUGUUUACUCUGGUCUUAUGGGACUUGUGAAUGCCAUGCUCUGUUGUCUAUCAGAGAUGAGAUUUGAGGGUCUCUCCCUCGUGUAGCAGCCAUAAAAGUUGGGGCAUAGAUGUGGGGUCCAAACCACUCUCUCUUGAGGGAGAAGCUGAAAGUUGAGGGUUUCCUCUUGACUAUAGGCACUGUGCCAGGAGUGGGGUUUACGCAAAAGUGUGUUUCAACAUUUCCUUCCUGUUUUUUUGUUUUUUGUUUUUUUUUUCAGGAAAAGAAUCAAGACUUUAUUGUACGAAUGAAAGAAUACCAUUUGGAAAAUUAAGAAUAAAUCCUAGUUCUGUAUGUACACCACUCGUCUUCAUGAAUACAUAAGUGCAGGCAUAUCUAAAUAAGGUAGAAAUAAGGAAGAAGUCUGUCAUGACAUGGUGGGUCAGGAGGUGAGCGUUCGCAUGGAGUGGUUUGGAGUAGGUUGGCCUCAGGUCUCUGAAAGCCUUUGAGAGGGAAACAGCCCCUCCUUCCUGUUUUGAUGGAAGUAUUUUCUCAGCCUUCCAGUGUGUUGGGGUUAUUCAACUAGUUUCUGCAUUCCUUUCACAGGGGAAUUGAUCCACGCGUAGCUGUAUAUUCGGUGCAUCUGUGGGAGGAGGGAAAGUCGAGAGCCUCUUAUCUAGUCUUCUUGGUGAUGUCCUCCAUGGGACAUUCGUAAGGGGCCUUUGGGCUGCUCAGGCUUUCCUCUUGUCUGAGCAGUUCCAUUUGAAUUCUGCCACAUAAUUUAAAUUGGCACUGAGGAGAAACACCUAGAAUCAAAUCUUAGCCACAUAAACCUAAAUCACCCCAAGAACUAAGGGAAUCUAAAAUAUAUAGCAGGUACUGCUUUA
rnacentral:lncRNA from 1 species